AGUGAACGCUGGCGGUAGGCCUAACACAUGCAAGUCGAACGGCAGCACAGUAAGAGCUUGCUCUUACGGGUGGCGAGUGGCGGACGGGUGAGGAAUACAUCGGAAUCUACUUUUUCGUGGGGGAUAACGUAGGGAAACUUACGCUAAUACCGCAUACGACCUACGGGUGAAAGCAGGGGAUCUUCGGACCUUGCGCGAUUGAAUGAGCCGAUGUCGGAUUAGCUAGUUGGCGGGGUAAAGGCCCACCAAGGCGACGAUCCGUAGCUGGUCUGAGAGGAUGAUCAGCCACACUGGAACUGAGACACGGUUCAGACUCCUACGGGAGGCAGCAGUGGGGAAUAUGGGACAAUGGGCGCAAGCCUGAUCCAGCCAUACCGCGUGGGUGAAGAAGGCCUUCGGGUUGUAAAGCCCUUUUGUUGGGAAAGAAAAGCAGCAGGUUAAUACCCCGCUGUUCUGACGGUACCCAAAGAAUAAGCACCGGCUAACUUCGUG
rnacentral:rRNA from 1 species